rnacentral:lncRNA from 1 species
GCUUCACACUGGGGCCAUAAAACAAUGAAUAAUGGACAAGAAGAAGCCUGUAAUGUGAAGAUUUUAGGAAAUUCAGGAUCAAAUUUAUUUUGGUUCUCAAGGUCAAGCUGCUUAUGUUGCCAAGAGGCCCCUGAGCAUCAGACAAACAGUGCAGGUCUGCAGACCAGAGUCACCAAUGGGCCACUGGUUUACAGUCUCUGA